UCGGGUGCACCAGGCGCGAAAACUUUGCAAUGCGGGAAACCGUGACAAGGGAACUCUGAGUGCCCGUUAAAUCGGGCUGUCCAUCGGUUUAAACAACCGGUGAAGAAAGGGCCGGGCAAGACCGGUGCCAGCCGCCGCGGUAAUACCGGCGGCUCGAGUGGUGGCCACUAUUACUGGGCUUAAAGCGUUCGUAGCUGGUUUGUUAAGUCUCUGGGGAAAUCUUCCGGCUUAACCGGAAGGCGUCUCAGGGAUACUGGCAGACUAGGGACCGGGAGAGGUGAGAGGUACUCCAGGGGUAGGAGUGAAAUCCUGUAAUCCUUGGGGGACCACCUGUGGCGAAGGCGUCUCACCAGAACGGCUCCGACAGUGAGGGACGAAAGCUGGGGGAGCAAACCGGAUUAGAUACCCGGGUAGUCCCAGCUGUAAACGAUGCGCGUUAGGUGUAUCAGUGACCACGAGUCACUGAGGUGCCGAAGAGAAAUCGUGAAACGUGCCGCCUGGGAAGUACGGUCGCAAGGCUGAAACUUAAAGGAAUUGGCGGGGGAGCACAAUCACUAGUGAAUU
rnacentral:rRNA from 1 species